rnacentral:rRNA from 1 species
CAAAAACAUUGCCUCAUGGAAACUAGUAUAUAAGGUAAGUCCUGCCCGGUGACUAAGAUGGUUUAACGGCCGCGGUACCCUGACCGUGCUAAGGUAGCGUGAUAAAAUGCCCUUUAAUUGUGGGCCUGACGAACGGAUUUUCGAGGGUCUAGCUGUCUCCUUUUAAGAAAUAGAAAAUAACAUUUAGGUGAAUAUACCUAAAUAUAUAUACAAGACAAAAAGACCCCGUAGAGCUUUGUUUAACCCGACAAACAUUAAUUUAUUAAUAAAACCCUAAUUUAUAUCAUAAAAUACGUAUGCGUAAAAACUUAACUGGGGCGGUUGAGGAAAAGCUAAACGUCUGUUUUCAUAAAACAAAAGGAAACAAACCAUAAAUAACUGAGCCUAUUUUUCAUAUAAAGUUCAAACAAAGAAACUUUCUUAAUUUAACUGUAUGCAAAAUCAACAUAAUUGUAAAUAAUUUUACAACGAUCAAAGGAUUAGCUACCUCGGGGAUAACAGACUAAUCUUUCUUAAGAGUUCGCAUUGACAGAAAGGUUUGGCACAUCGAUGUUGGCUUAGGGGAUCCCAAGGGUCAGUAGCAGCCCUUAUGUGCAGGUUUGUUCAACCUUUAAACCCCUACGUGAGUG